UACGUAGGGGGCAAGCGUUGUCCGGAUUUAUUGGGCGUAAAGAGCGUGUAGGCGGCCAGUCAGGUCCGUUGUGAAAACUCGAGGCUCAACCUCGAGAUGUCGAUGGAAACCGUCUGGCUAGAGUCCGGAAGAGGAGUGUGGAAUUCCUGGUGUAGCGGUGGAAAUGCGCCAGAUAUCAGGAAGAACACCUAUGGCGAAGGCAGCACUCUGGGACGGUACUGACGCUGAGACGCGAAAGCGUGGGGAGCGAACAGG
rnacentral:rRNA from 1 species